rnacentral:rRNA from 1 species
GAUGAACGCUGGCGGCGUGCCUAAUACGUGCAAGUCGAGCGAACGGACGAGACUCUUUCUUCGCUGCUGUUAGCGGCGGGCGGGUGAGUAACACGUGGAUACCCUACCUAUAAGACUGGGAUAACUUCGGGAAACCGUAGCUAAUACCGGAUCAUAUUUUGAACCGCAUGGUUCAACAGUGCAAGACGGUCUUGCUGUCACUUAUAGAUGUAUCCGCGCUGCAUUAGCUAGUUGGUAAGGUAACGGCUUACCAAGGCAACGAUGCAUAGCCGACCUGAGAGGGUGAUCGGCCACACUGGAACUGAGACACGGUCCAGACUCCUACGGGAGGCAGCAGUAGGGAAUCUUCCGCAAUGGGCGAAAGCCUGACGGAGCAACGCCGCGUGAGUGAUGAAGGUCUUCGGAUCGUAAAACUCUGUUAUUAGGGAAGAACAUAUGUGUAAGUAACUGUGCACAUCUUGACGGUACCUAAUCAGAAAGCCACGGCUAACUACGUG